CCUUGAGGUGGACAUGCAGACAGCAAUGGGCUGGUGGAACCUUUUAAAAAGGGUUCGCUGUGACUAAAAGUCUCAGGUCUGUUGGUAGAGAAGCAGCUUUAGCUGGAAACUGAUGACAGACGUGAAAAAAGAGUAAAUAAAUGAAGCUACACACUGCCUGAGUCCCCAACACACCACAGUAUGAGGAAUGACAGAGCGAGCAGAGCGGUCCCCAGCAGGUCUCCAAGGGCUGUGAGGUAAGGUAUUGAAUAACUGUCCGGGUCUUUACCCCUCCGCCACAGAAAGUGCACCAUGCAGUCAGCUAUAAGCAGCAGGGAGGAGACCUGAGAGAGACACAGGACAGGAGUGAUAGAGAUGAACAGUGUUGGAGUCUGGAGAGAUUAAAUGACCACACCUCUGAUUCACCUGAAUCAGACAAGCAGACAGGAAGGUGACAAUGAAGAGAGGACUGGGCAGAGUGUGGCCUCCUUUUAUCAGGUGGAUGGCGUAUAUAAAGACCAGCUGACCAGACUGUGAACAAGUGAGUGUUGGUGAGCACCUGCUGAUGAUCAUGGCUGUAAUGAUGGGUUCCCAGCCUGUGCGGAGCAGGAUGAGACUGGCUGAAUGUUUGGAGGCGAUGAUCACCCAGAGAGGAAUCAAACACAGUAAUAACAGAUCCGCCAGGAGAAGAACCACUGACUGAAGCAGGCCAGCAGAGCGAGAGUGAUGAGGUCCCCAAAGCUGGCUGCCAUGGGUGUGGCCACGUUGUCAGGGUUGAUCCCCAUCCGCUUGGAGCCAAAAAUCACUCCCACCAUAAUAAUACCUGGAGAGUGGGAACAACAAGGAUAUUGCAUCGCAAGUUCAUCUGCAGCUGCAUUGUUCACAGGUCUGUGAGGAGUUUCACACAGAGACAGAGGCCCCUGGUGUAAGAGAGCAAAAAUAUUAUUCUGAGAAAGAGGUUGUAGGUACCCUGUGAACAAGCUUUGUAAUAUUCACUCUCACCCCAUGUCAACUCAGCUUCCCAACUCGGUCAACAUUUUUUCAUUCAUUCAAUUUAUUCAUUAAA